rnacentral:sRNA from 1 species
UCUGAAAAAGAAAGACAAAAACGGGUCCUAGAAAUCUACAGGAUCGGACUGGCAGGCAUCAUGACACAUAGCCUCUCUUAGCCACAAAGGUCAAGUGCGAGCAGGCCUUUUGGCCCUGCCAAAUGAAACCUGUGUUCAGUACCAGUGAAAUAGGAUCUCAGUCUUGCCAAAGUUGAGAGAUAUGGAGGAGAGAGCACACGCAAGCCAGUCCCUCUCUGUCCCUGGCAAAGGUUCUCAACAUAGAACAAGGCUUACCUCUUCUUAAUACGUCCCACAAUCCAGCCAGCAAGAAACAGCCAAGAAACCCGUGAUGUCCCUGAGGCUGCUGGGAGUCAACACCUUGCCAGGGGGCCAGCCUGGCUUGCUGGAAAGCAUUUGCAUUGAAAUAAAAAGAGACAAACAAUGACAAAUAAUGGGGCUCAGGAGUGAUCUGCGACAGUCACCUCCCAAAUAAAACUAGGUGCUAAAAGAAACAGUGAGGUGGUAAUGAGAACAGACACUUGUUGACUUCCAGCUCUGGAGGGAACACUUCUGAUUGUUUUCCCAUGAAAUACCCGUUUUCCUUCUCCCAACAACUCAAGAGAAUCUGCUGUUACUGUCUCACUCCUCCUACAUCCAACGAAACCAGGGCGGAGUGCGGACAUCGUUGCCAAGGUCAGGACGCCACCCAGGUUCAGGCAGCUGCGGCUGGCUCAAAGGGCUUGCCCUCCGCACACACUGCAGCUCAUUCACGGGAGCGUGGAAAUCGAGAGAAGCAGCAGCCCAACUGUAAUUAGAGGCCAGAGGAGGAGACGCGGGGACCCGCUCAGGAUUUAUGCCUGAGCGGUGGCGAUGUGGAGCAAGUCCUCUGUGUAAUGAAGAUGCCACAUUCUAAUGAGUUUGGGAGAAAGGAGAGUCUGUUAGCCGGAGGUCUAUAUUUGGAUCUUUAUCUGCUGAUAUGAUGAAGAGAUGAAACUUCCCGAUUGCUCUCCCUGUAUGUGGGAUAGCGGAUUGGAAAUUCUUUUCAGGAUGCACUCCCCAAACUCGGGCUGAUGGACCUGGUUCAGGUUUUCAUUAAAAACUGCUCCCAUACCUAA